rfam:Ictidomys tridecemlineatus contig010808, whole genome shotgun sequence.
UGGGUUGUGGCUCAGCGGCAGAGCACUCACCUCGCACGUUUGAGACCCUGGGUUCGAUUCUCAGCACCACAU